GACGAACGCUGGCGGCGUGCCUAAUACAUGCAAGUUGAGCGAUGAAGAUUGGUGCUUGCACCAAUUUGAAGAGCAGCGAACGGGUGAGUAACGCGUGGGGAAUCUGCCUUUGAGCGGGGGACAACAUUUGGAAACGAAUGCUAAUACCACAUAACAACUUUAAACAUAAGUUUUAAGUUUGAAAGAUGCAAUUGCAUCACUCAAAGAUGAUCCCGCGUUGUAUUAGCUAGUUGGUGAGGUAAAGGCUCACCAAGGCGAUGAUACAUAGCCGACCUGAGAGGGUGAUCGGCCACAUUGGGACUGAGACACGGCCCAAACUCCUACGGGAGGCAGCAGUAGGGAAUCUUCGGCAAUGGACGAAAGUCUGACCGAGCAACGCCGCGUGAGUGAAGAAGGUUUUCGGAUCGUAAAACUCUGUUGGUAGAGAAGAACGUUGGUGAGAGUGGAAAGCUCAUCAAGUGACGGUAACUACCCAGAAAGGGACGGCUAACUACGUG
rnacentral:rRNA from 1 species